rnacentral:rRNA from 1 species
AUUGAACGCUGGCGGCAGGCCUAACACAUGCAAGUCGAGCGAGCGGCGGAGGGGUGAGGAAUGUAUGGGGAACCGCCUGCUGGAGGGGGCUAACUACUGGAAACGGUAGCUAAUACACCAUACUAUCGGAUGAACCCAUAUGUGAUUAGCUAGUAGGUGGGGUAAAGGCUCACAUAGGCGACGAUCCCUAGCUGGUCUGAGAGGAUGACCAGCCACACGGGGACAGAGACACUGCCCAGACGCCUACGGGAUGCAGCAGUGGGGAAUAUUGCGCAAUGGGGGCAAGCCUGAUACAGCCAUACCGCGGGUAUGAAGAAGGCCUUAGGGUUGUAAAGUACUUUCAGCAGGGGUGCGUUACCCGCAGAAGAAGCACCGGCUAACUCCGUGCCAGCAGCCGCGGUAAUAC